rnacentral:pre_miRNA from 1 species
AAUAAUCUCAUUUUUCGUUUUUCUGUGUCCAACGUUUGACCAUUCGUCUUAUUUAAAAAAUUUGUACAAAAACUUAAAAAAAAAGUCAAAGUACUAUUCAUAUUUUAUCAUCUAGUAAGAAUAAAAAUAUUAAUCGCAAAAAAAAUUCAAAUAAGACGAAUGGUCAAACGUUGGACACAGAAAAAC